rnacentral:rRNA from 1 species
UACGUAGGGUGCGAGCGUUGUCCGGAAUUAUUGGGCGUAAAGGGCUCGUAGGCGGUUUGUCGCGUCGGGAGUGAAAUCCACUGGCUUAACUGGUGGCUUGCUUUCGAUACGGGCAGACUGGAGGUAUGCAGGGGAGAACAGAAUUCCUGGUGUAGCGGUGAAAUGCGCAGAUAUCAGGAGGAACACCGGUGGCGAAGGCGGUUCUCUGGGCAUGUCCUGACGCUGAGGAGCGAAAGUGUGGGGAGCGAACAGG